UACGUAGGGUGCGAGCGUUGUCCGGAAUUACUGGGCGUAAAGCGUGCGCAGGCGGUGAUGUAAGACCGAUGUGAAAUCCCCGGGCUUAACCUGGGAACUGCAUUGGUGACUGCAUCGCUCGAGUAUGGCAGAGGGGGGUAGAAUUCCACGUGUAGCAGUGAAAUGCGUAGAGAUGUGGAGGAAUACCGAUGGCGAAGGCAGCCCCCUGGGUCAAUACUGACGCUCAUGCACGAAAGCGUGGGGAGCAAACAGG
rnacentral:rRNA from 1 species